AUACGAAGGGUGCAAGCGUUACUCGGAAUUACUGGGCGUAAAGCGUGCGUAGGUGGUUGUUUAAGUCUGUCGUGAAAGCCCUGGGCUCAACCUGGGAAUGGCGAUGGAAACUGGGCGACUAGAGUGUGGCAGAGGGUAGUGGAAUUCCUGGUGUAGCAGUGAAAUGCGUAGAGAUCAGGAGGAACAUCCGUGGCGAAGGCGAAUGCCUGGGCCAACACUGAGACUGAGGCGCGAAAGCGUGGGGAGCAAACAGGAUUAUAUACCCUGGUAGACCACGCCCUAAACGCUGCGAACUGGAUGUGUGGUGCAAUUUGGGACGCAGUAUCGAAGCUAACGCGUUAAGUUCGCCGCCUGGGGAGUACGGUCGCAAGACUGAAACUCAAAGGAAUUGACGGGG
rnacentral:rRNA from 1 species